rnacentral:rRNA from 1 species
CGGCGGACGGGUGAGUAAUGCCUAGGAAUCUGCCUAUUAGUGGGGGACAACGUUUCGAAAGGAACGCUAAUACCGCAUACGUCCUACGGGAGAAAGCAGGGGACCUUCGGGCCUUGCGCUAAUAGAUGAGCCUAGGUCGGAUUAGCUAGUUGGUGAGGUAAAGGCUCACCAAGGCGACGAUCCGUAACUGGUCUGAGAGGAUGAUCAGUCACACUGGAACUGANACACGGUCCANACUCCUACGGGAGGCAGCANUGGGGAAUAUUGGACAAUGGGCGAAANCCUGAUCCAGCCAUGCC